UCCUUAUUUUUGCCACAAGAGGAAGGGAGGAAAAACAAAAAGGAAAGAAAAUUAUAUAGAAAGAGGUAGAGAAGACGCCAUUCUCUGGAGGAAGAGGAGCUGUUGCACGAGUUUGGAGCUCCAGAAACCAGAGACUUUGGUUCUUCCACCUGGGUUUUUCUAUUUCAGUCCUCUUAUCAUGUUUUCCUUUACUUUUCCAUCAAUAUUUCU
rnacentral:misc_RNA from 1 species